rnacentral:lncRNA from 1 species
UAAUAAAACGAUAUAAUUAGGUUUUACUUUUUGUUCGAUAGAAUGAGAAAAAGUACUCGUUGCAAAGUUAUACUGUUAGGGCGCAACUGAGUAGUCUAAUGUUGUUCUGGUUUUCGUUCUUGUGAACGUUGACAUCGAUUUGUUCAAAAUUUACACUCUCGGGGCAUAAUAGAACUAUAUAAUUAGGUUUUACUCUUUGUUCGAUAGAUUGAGAAAAAGUACUCGUUGCAAAGUUAUACUGUUAGGGCGCAACUGAGUAGUCUAAUGUUGUUCCGAUUUUGGUUCUUGUGAACGUCGAAGAUUCGUUCCAAAUUUACACUCGCGGGGCAUAAUAGAACUAUAUAAUUAGGUUUUACUUUUUGUUCGAUAGAAUGAGAAAAAGUACUCGUCGCAAGUUAUACUGUUAGGGCACAACAGAGUAGUCUAAUGUAGUUCUGGUUUUCGUUCUUGUGAACGUUUACAUCGAUUCGUUCCAAAUUUACACUUUCGGGGCAUAAUAGAACAAUAUAAUUAGGUUUUACUCUUUGUUCGAUAGAAUGAGAAAAAGUACUCAUUGCAAAGUUAUACUGUUAGGGCGCUACUGAGUAGUCUAAUUUUGUUCCUGUUUUUGUUCUUGUGAACGUUGACAUCGAUUCGUUCCAAAUUUACACUGUCGGGUAAUAAUAGAACAAUAUAAUUAGGUUUUACUCUUCGUUCGAUAGAAUAAGAAAAAGUACUCGUUGCAAAAUUAUACUGUUAGGGCGCAACAGAGUAGACUAAUGUUGUUCCGAUUUUGGUUCUUUUAAACAUUGACAUUGAUUCGUUCCAAAUUUACACUCUCGGGGUAUAAUAGAAUGAUAUAAUUAGGUUUUACUCUUUGUUCGAUAGAAUGAGAAAAAGUACUCGUUGCAAAGUUAUACUGUUAGGGUGCAACUGAGUAGUCUAAUUUUUUUCCUGUUUUUGUUCUUGUGAACGUUGACAUCGAUUCGUUUAAAAUUUACACUCUUGGGGCAUAAUAAAAUAAUAUAAUUAGGUUUUACUCUUUGUUCGUUUGAAUGAGAAAAAGUACUCGUUGCAAAGUUAUACUAUUAGGGCGCAACUGAGUAGUCUAAUGUUGUUCCGAUUUCGGUUCUUGUGAACGUAGACAUCGAUUCGUUCCAAAUUUACACACUCGGGGCAUAAUAGAACAAUAUAAUUAGGUUUUACUCAUUGUUCGAUAGAAUGAGAAAAGGUACUCGUUGCAAAUUUAUACUGUUAGAGCGCAACUUAGUAGUCUAAUGUUGUUUCGGUUUUGGUUCUUGUGAACGUUUACAUCGAUUCGUUCGAAAUUUACGCUCUCGGAGCAUAAUAGAGCAAUAUAAUUAGAUUUUACUCUUUGUUCGAUAGAAUGAGAAAAAGUACUCGUUGCAAAGUUAUACUGUUUGGGCACAACUGAGUAUUCUAAUGUUGUUCCGGUUUUAGUUCUUGUGAACAUUGACAUCGAUUCGUUCCAAAUUUACACUCUCAGGGCAUAAUAGAACAAUAUAAUUAGGUUUUACUCUUUGUUCGAUAGAAUGAGAAAAAGUACUCAUUGCAAAGUUAUACUGUUAGGGCGCAACUGACUAGUCUAAUGUUGUACCGGUUUUGGUUCUUGUGAACGUUGACAUCGAUUCGUUUCAAAUUUACACUCUCGAGGCAUAAUAGAGCAAUAUAAUUAGGUUUAAUUUUUGUUCGAUAGAAUGAGAAAAAGUACUCGUUGCAAAGUUAUACUGUUAGGGCGCAACUGAGUAGUCAAAUUUUGUUCCGAUUUUGGUUCUUGUGAACGUUGAAGAUUCGUUCCAAAUUUACACUCGCGGGGCUUAAUAGAACUAUAUAAUUAGGGUUUUACUCUUUUGUCGAUUGAAUGAGGAAAAAGUACUCUUCUUAAGGGUAUACUGAUAGGGGCACAACAGACUAGUCUAAUGUUGUACUGUGUUUGGUUCUUGUGAAACGUUAACAUCGAUUCGUUUCCAAAUUUACACUCUCCGGUACAUUAAUAGAACUAUAUAAUUAGCUUUAAUUUUUGUUCGAUAGAAUUGAGGAAAAGUACUCGUUGCAAAGUUAUACUGUUAGGGCGCAACUGAGUAGUCAAAUUUUGUUCCGAUUUUGGUUCUUGUGAACGUUGAAGAUUCGUUCCAAAUUUACACUCGCGGGGCUUAAUAGAACUAUAUAAUUAGGUUUUACUUUUUGUUCGAUUGAAUGAGAAAAAGUACUCGUCGCAAGUUAUACUGAUAGGGCACAACAGAGUAGUCUAAUGUUGUUCUGUUUUCGUUCUUGUGAACGUUAACAUCGAUUCGUUCCAAAUUUACACUCUCGGUGCAUAAUAGAACUAUAUAAUUAGCUUUUACUCUUUGUUCGAUAGAAUGAGAAAAGUACUCGUUUCAAAGUUAUACUGUUUGGGCGCAACUGAGUAGUCUAAUUUUGUUCCGGUUUUGGUUCUUGUGAACGUUGACAUUGAUUCGUUCCAAAUUUACACUCUCGGCGCAUAAUAGAACUAUAUAAUUAGGUUUUACUCUUUAUUCGAUAGAAUGAGAAAAAGUACUCGUUGCAAAGUUAUACUGUUAGGGCGCAACAGAGUAGUCUAAUGUUGUUCCGGCUUUCGUUCUUGUGAACAUUGACAUCGAUUCGUUCCAAAUUUACACCCUCGGGGCAUAAUAGAACUAUAUAAUUAGGUUUUACUCUUUGUUCGAUAGAAUGAGAAAAAGUACUCGUUGCAAUGUUAUAAUGUUUGGGCGCAACUGAGUAUUCUAAUGUUGUUCCGGUUUUGGUUCUUGUGAACAUUGACAUUGAUUCGUUCCAAAUUUACACUCUCGAGGCAUAAUAGAACGAUAUAAUUAGGUUUUACUCUUUAUUCGAUAGAAUGAGAAAAAAUACUCGUUGCAAAAUUAUACUGUUUGGGCGCAACUGAGUAGUCUAAUGUUCUUCCGGUUUUUUUUCUUGUGAACGUUGACGUCGAUUUGUUCGAAAUUUACACUCUCGGGGCAUAAUAGAACAAUAUAAUUAGGUUUUACUCCUUGUUCGAUUUAACGAGAAAAAGUACUCGUUGCAAAGUUAUACAGUUUCGGCGCAACUGAGUAUUGUAAUAUUGUUCCGGUUUUAGUUCUUGUGAACGUUGA